GAAGAACACAGAACAUCCUCAGAACCCUUCCAUCCACACAUCAGCACCAGUGCCUGGGACUCCAGACCAACUAAUACACACCAGAGCAGUGAAGCUUUCUAAUAUAACUCUGAAAGAAGAGAGUCAUGGACUUGGGCUGAUUUGAGUUCUUGGGUGAACUAUGCCUUUAAUAUUGGAGUAAACUAAAAUUCUUCUAGAAUGAUAAUUAAAACUUCAUGGGUAUAGUCAUGAACGAGUCUUUGAGCAGUUUGUCAGGAACUUGUAAUGCUGGAAAUCAGAAUAAAAAUCAAGAGCUCUGAUUGGCUGAUUUAUCUCUGAAUUUCCACUUGACCAAUGGCUUUUGUUCCUCUUUUGUAAAACGCUUUGCAUCUGCUAAAGGCAUAAAUGUAAAUUAAUUAGGUUGAAUUAUUUGCUACGUUUCUUUCCAAUAAUGUGAAUGAGACGCAGUAACCCCUGCUGCUCCUUUUUCAUUUGUAGGAGAUGCAAAUGUAAGUAAAUGAGUGACACUGAUCAUGUGACUCUGAAUACAGACGUGUAAUUACGCUGAAGGACAAACUCUACUUCUGUCUGUCCCACGCUAUCACUCCAAAUCUUAAUGUGGUCAGGAUGUUCUGAAGGUCUUAAAAGUCUUACAUUUGAGAUACCCUGUGUACUCGACCGUCCAGUGCAAAAAUCUUGCAUGAGAUUUAAAUGAAAUAAAAACACUGGUGGUAAAGAGAAAGUCACAUGAGGAAUCAGAACUCAUCAGAAGCAGCACACAAAUACCAAACACCUUCAUGGUGACACACUCAACACAGAAAUAUUGAAUGUGACAACAUUAAACCCUAAUAACCGAGAAGAAUGAACGAAGAACAAACAGUUACUUAUAUGAGAAACCAUUCAAUGUGAAGUAUGUCAAGGAAUUAGUGUUAAAAUAAAAAGUGAAAAUGUAAAACAAGUGGGACACUAUCAGCUGUGUUCACACAAAGUAACAGUGUUCUUCUUCUCCAUCUAGAGGAUGCACUUCUGACCUUCAGCAACACGGGAAACAAGCAAAGCUGUGAUAUCUGUGGUCAUGCUGAUGCUGAGGUAAACAUCACACUUUCAAGAACCUCAUCAUGAAAACAGACACAGGAAGACACAGAUGACUGUUUCCCAUAAUGCACCUGAACCGGCUGAAAACAGGCCCAUUGUGACUGACUCCAUGAAUUCACUCGCCUCCCCAAAACACAUGUGUAGACAACUGAAUUGCUAAAACCUAAAAGAUUCUUUUAAAAUAUUAUUAUAUCAUAACAGAACACUUCGUUUUAAAUGUUGCAUUAAGGUUUUUAUUUUUUAUUAUUCACACAGUUUUAUUAUAAAUAGUGAUAUAUGUCUAUCAUAAUGUCCUCAAGUUAAACCAAACGUUUAUUUCUGACGGUUUGUAAUGAAGAGCUUUGAGUUUGUGUGUGCUUUGAUCAGAUAAAGCCCCAUCAUGGAGCUUCUCCCAGAAUUCCUCACAGGAAACAGGAAGUGCAGCACAUCCUGUCCAUCAACCGGCCGCCCUGAGUCAUACUGACUUCAUACAUUAAUUUUCUAAAAAAUAUGAACACGUCCUCCCAUAAUGUCAUUUCUGUAUGAAAUGAAAUGUAAUAAAAUACAAGAAUUCCUUUACAACAAAUUUUUUUGUCAAAUAAAGUGAUUCUCAAUAAAGGUUUAGAAUGUAUUUUCUUAGUGGCUUAAUGCAUUUAAAGGGAAAAUAUUCAAUAAAAAUAAAUGCUUCCUACAUCAAUGUGUCUGAAUAAUUGUAUCAAUAGAUUUUUAACAAUUAAAUAAAACGCAUCAAAGCAGAAGAGUUCCUUCAGAACAUAGUGUGGUGUUCUUUCUGUGUGUGAACACUUCAUCUGAAUCUCAGUCUGAGUCCUGCUGCAGCACAGUUCUUCAUUAACCAGCAGUCACACACACACACACACACACACCCCUGAGCUCA